CAGAGGCCCCAAGCGUUACUGAGAAUCACUGGGUUUAAAGGGUGCGUAGGUGGCGCGUUAAGUCCGCUGUGAAAUCCCUUGGCUCAACCAAGGAAAUGCUUCGAAUACUGGCGUGCUUGAGGCUAGUAGGGGUCACUGGAACUGACGGUGGAGCGGUGAAAUGCGUAGAUAUCGUCAGGAACGCCGAUGGUGAAGACAGGUGACUGGGCUAGUCCUGACACUGAGGCACGAAAGCGUGGGGAGCGAACGGGAUUAGAUACCCCGGUAGUCCACGCCCUAAACGAUGCAGACUAGACUGCAGCGGGUUACACCCCGUUGCGGUCGGAGCGAAAUUGUUAAGUCUGCCACCUGGGAAGUACGGUCGCAAGGCUA
rnacentral:rRNA from 1 species